AAAUACUAAGCAGUACCGCAUAGUAAAAAUAUUAAUACGCGUCAAAUACUAAGCAGUACGGCAUCAAAAAAAAUUUAUUCUAUCAAAACAUAUUACUAUCAGCCAUAAUAUUUAGACGCAUCAAAUAUUAAGCAGUACGGCAUUAACAGUUGAUCAAAACAAUGAACACUACCAAACGCUAAAACAUACUUCUAUAUAUACAUACACACGUAUCCUCAUAAACAUAUACAUUAUAUGAUAAAUACGUGAGAGAUUAGAAUUUACCCUUGAAGCGUGUGAACCCUAACCUUGAGAAGCCUCACGGUCACCGGAUGAGCACCACCACCACCUCCAAACUCCUCCAAACCACCACCAUUGUCCCAACUUAGCAACAAGAAAUUAGCUCAAAAUGUUCAACGAAAAGAAUAGAUCAAGGUGUCAUUGGGUGCUAAAUAGCAAGGGGAUUCAGUUUUGUGGGUUAAACGGGAUCAAAACUCACUCAUUUUGGCUAAAAAUUGGGGGCAUUUUUGAGGAAGAAGAAGAGGAGAAGAAGAACAGAAGGUGCAGGCAGGAAGAAGAAGAGGGCUCGGUGGGUUUGCCAGGGCUCGCGCGAUGGGAGGGGAGGAAAGGAAAGGGAAAGAGAAAAAGAAGAAAAGAGAAAAAGAAAAUUCCCCCGGCCC
rnacentral:lncRNA from 1 species